GCCUGUUGCUGCACUAUGGAUUCAUCCUCGCAGCUGCACGAUAAACCUUGAGGGGUUGAGGAAGAUCAGGGGGGCGUCUCCGUAACCCACCUUACUUACUAAUGCAGGUGCCAAGGGACGAGCGCAGAGUGGAGCGGAGGAGUGUGUCUGCCGAACACAUGACUGCUGGAGACUCUGAGGAGACAAGAGUAAAGAAAGAGAGG